rnacentral:rRNA from 1 species
GAUGAACGCUGGCGGCGUGCUUAACACAUGCAAGUCGAACGGGAUCCAUCAAGCUUGCUUGGUGGUGAGAGUGGCGAACGGGUGAGUAAUGCGUGACCGACCUGCCCCAUACACCGGAAUAGCUCCUGGAAACGGGUGGUAAUGCCGGAUGCUCCGGCCUGCCGCAUGGGUGGGCCGGGAAAGAUUGUAUCGGUAUGGGAUGGGGUCGCGUCCUAUCAGGUAGUCGGCGGGGUAACGGCCCACCGAGCCUACGACGGGUAGCCGGCCUGAGAGGGCGACCGGCCACAUUGGGACUGAGAUACGGCCCAGACUCCUACGGGAGGCAGCAGUGGGGAAUAUUGCACAAUGGGCGCAAGCCUGAUGCAGCGACGCCGCGUGCGGGAUGACGGCCUUCGGGUUGUAAACCGCUUUUGAUCGGGAGCAAGCCUUCGGGUGAGUGUACCUUUCGAAUAAGCAC